CCUANGGGUGGCAGCAGUGAGGAAUAUUGCGCAAUGGGGGCAACCCUGACGCAGCAACGCCGCGUGAGUGAGGAAGGUUUUCGGAUUGUAAAGCUCUGUCGAGCGGAAAGAAAUGCAUGAUGGCUAAUAUCCAUCAUGCUUGACGGUACCGCUAAAGGAAGCACCGGCUAACUCCGUGCCAGCAGCCGCGGUAAUACGGGGGGUGCAAGCGUUGUUCGGAAUUAUUGGGCGUAAAGAGCGUGUAGGCGGCUUGACAAGUCAGAUGUGAAAUCCCUGGGCUUAACCUAGGAAGUGCAUUUGAAACUGUCAGGCUUGAGUAAGGGAGAGGAAAGUGGAAUUCCUGGUGUAGAGGUGAAAUUCGUAGAUAUCAGGAGGAACACCGGUGGCGAAGGCGACUUUCUGGCCCUAUACUGACGCUGAGACGCGAAAGCGUGGGUAGCAAACAGGAUUAGAUACCCUGNUANUC
rnacentral:rRNA from 1 species